rnacentral:rRNA from 1 species
UUGGAGGGCAAGUCUGGUGCCAGCAGCCGCGGUAAUUCCAGCUCCAAUAGCGUAUAUUAAAGUUGUUGCAGUUAAAAAGCUCGUAGUUGAAUUUCGGGGUUAGUAGGUUGGUCAUGCCUCUGGUAUGUACUGGUCUCACUGAUUCCUCCUUCCUGAUGAACCGCAAUGCCAUUAAUUUGGUGUUGCGGGGAAUUUGGACUGUUACUUUGAAAAAAUUAGAGUGUUUAAAGCAAGCUAACGCUUGAAUACAUUAGCAUGGAAUAAUGAAAUAGGACGUUCGAUCCUAUUUUGUUGGUUUCUAGGAUUGACGUAAUGAUUAAUAGGGAUAGUUGGGGGCAUUAGUAUUCAAUUGUCAGAGGUGAAAUUCUUGGAUUUAUUGAAGACUAACUACUGCGAAAGCAUUUGCCAAGGAUGUUUUCAUUAAUCAAGAACGAAAGUUAGGGGAUCGAAGACGAUCAGAUACCGUCGUAGUCUUAACCAUAAACUAUGCCGACUAGGGAUCGGAUGAUGUUAAUUUUUUAAUGACUCAUUCGGCGCCUUACGGGAAACCAAAGUGUUUGGGUUC